UGCUAGUCGUACGAGUUCAUACUCGUGGCGUAUAGCUCAGUAACACGUGGUCAAACUACCCUCUGGACUGAGAUACCCUCGGGAAACUGAGGUCAAUCUCGGAUACUGCUUUCACGUUGGAACAACGGAAAGCUGGAAACGGUCCGCCGCCGGAGGACGUGACUGCGGCUGAUUAGGUAGACGGUGGGGUAACGGCCCACCGUGCCAAUAAUCAGUACGGGUUGUGAGAGCAAGAGCCCGGAGACGGAAUCUGAGACAAGAUUCCGGGCCCUACGGGGCGCAGCAGCCGCGAAACCUUUACACUGCACGACAGUGCGAUAAGGGGAUCCCGAGUGCGAGGGCAUACAGUCCUCGCUUUUCGUGACCGUAAGGUGGUCACAGAAUAAGGGCUGGGCAAGACCGGUGCCAGCCGCCGCGGUAAUACCGGCAGCCCGAGUGAUAGCCAAUUUUAUUGGGCCUAAAGCGUCCGUAGCUGGCCGAACAGGUCCGUCGGGAAAUCCACCCGCUUAACGGGUGGGCGUCCGGCGGAAACCAGUCGGCUUGGGGCCGGGAGACCAGAGGGGUACGUCCGGGGUAGGAGUGAAAUCCCCGUAAUCCUGGACGGACCACCGGUUGCGAAAGCGCCUCUGGAGAAUGGACCCGACAGUGAGGGACGAAAGCUAGGGUCUCGAACCGGAUUAGAUACCCGGGUAGUCCUAGCCGUAAACGAUGCUCGCUAGUGUGACGCAGCUACGAGCCUGCGUUGCGCCGUAAGGAAGCCGAGAAGCGAGCCGCCUGGGAAGUACGUCCGCAAAGAUGAAACUUAAAAGAAUUGGCGGGGG
rnacentral:rRNA from 1 species